rnacentral:lncRNA from 1 species
AGGAUCGAGAAAGCUUUUCUUGAAAGGAAGGAGGGAAAGGGCCAAGCUUAAAAUGUGUGAUUUUCAAUCCCAUUUUUACUGAUUAUAGAAACCCCAAAACCUGGACCGGUUAACCCGGAAAUUUAGAGGCUAAGAGCUUACGAGGCCACAGGCACAGUUUAACAUCCUUUAGGCCAGUUAACUUCAUAUAGGGAAAAAAAAUCCGUUUCAGAGUCACGGGCCUCGUUCUAGCUCAGCCAACACGGCGGGAAGUCGGGGCACAGGUCCCGAUGCCCCUCGGGACGCCGGGGGACAACUCAGAAGAGCAGGUCCUAUUACUUGGGGUGAGAACAUUCUUCGCGUAAGCAGCACACAAUCAUUUCACAACGCCGGGCCAUUUACACGUUAAUCCAGGGCAUGUCGCAGGUCCAAACAGCUACAUCCCUCUGCAGCCUGGCCUCCCCUGCACUUUUCACUGUUUCUGACACAGAGCAAACCAUCAAUAAAUAUUUGGAUUAAUCAAAUGAGCAAACUAUUCCAGAAAAAGAUUCCCAAAUAAAUAAUAAAAAGCCAGAACUCUGCCAAUUCUAUUUUGACUCUUAAAGUAAUUGGGUUGGGGCAAAAGGUGAGCGAGUAAACUUGAAGACCUCCUCCGCCACCUCGGGAAGCGAACGGGCAGGGGACGAAAACCUGGAGGACGUGACCUGAAGAUGCCCCGGGCCCUGGGCCUGCGCAGCACGCGCUCGGCCGGUCAAGCAAAGCAAAGAACCAGUGUGCCGCCUCUCCCUGGCCCCAGUUUUCUGCUCAGGACACUGUCCCAAGUGCUACCAGAAGGACGAGCAGGUGCAAAGAACGAUGGGAAUCCUUCGAGUGGGGUUUCUCUCUGGAGAGAAAGAAAGAUGCACAGACAUAAAGUGGCUGCUUCCUUGACUGCUUUCUGGAAUGCCGAGCAGCCCACACCAGCCAGGAGGAUGAGGAAAAGGAACUAAAGAGGCCCGAGGCUACUGAGUCAAAGAAGGGCUUUCAUUUCAGUGCUGCGUGAGGAUGCCUCGCAAAUGCUGGUCCCCGGGGCAGGGGGCAAGGGGCAGGGGGCAGGCAGAGGUAUGAAGAGGGAGCUUGCGAGCUGCAGUGGGCACACGUAACCUUCACUUUCACUGUAACCGAAACUAGGAGUGCGGUGGCCGGUCGCACGGGCUGGCGCAGCUGUGUGGCCACGCCGCGGACGGAGCUCCAUGUGGCCGCUGCGGCUCUCUGCGCCGGCAGAGUCUCACGCUCACUUUUUGGUAACUCACCUACAACAAGUAGUGCAGUUUACUCAGCACGGAAACGCGCGGCGGCCACCCUGCGGCCCGUGCUCGGGGAGCUGGUCUCUCGGAGGGGGAGGAGGUGUGGAUCCCGAGACAGCGACGGUCCCUCCUCCCGGACAGGGCCCUCGAGGGCAAAGCAGAAUCUGAGGCUUUGGAGAAAAGCAGCUCCUUCGCCCGCACCAGCCGCGCUCGGUUUUGCUCCGAACGCUCCGGGGAGAACCCUCUCCAGGACGUUCUCUAACACUGCCCCACAGUCAACUCAGCUUUCGUUUCUCCAAAUGAGGUCUGCUGUCUGUCUCUGUAAAGUAAGAAACUGACUCCAAGCAAAAGCGGGCUUCCCCGUGAGGACUCUGGGCUGCAGUGAAGGGCUGGAUGUCUACAGAGGCUCGGGCACGAAGGGGGCCGGGGCGAUCACUCCUCUGGAGGGUCCGUGCGGAUCCCCGGUCCAAGGAAGGAAGGUGAGCGACGCCUGGGAUCUCAGCCCAACCUCCCCCCCGGACCGCGAGCACAGGCCAGGGAGCAGGAGGCUCGGCCGGAGCCUUGGCCGUGGUGAAGCUCCACCAGGGCCACUCCCUCCCAGCUCGAGAAUCACGGAAUACUCAUUUCAGCAACUCAGAAAUCCGUUCUCGCCUUUUUUAUUUGGCUUGGUUCUUAAAUGGAGAAAAAAGAAAACAGACAGCAAUCCCAGAUGUGAACCAACCAGACCCGAGAGGGAAACCAACAGGUUGUGGCCUGAGCACGUGCCUGCCUGCGGGACUCGGUCCCCCGGCACCGGCCUGGCGCCUCUCAGCACAGUGGCCCGGGCGCCCCAGAGUGUCAGCGGAGCAAGUCUGAGGACCGCGUCCCAGGACCAGGGGCCGGUCUGGCACAUACCUGUUUUCAAGUUGUGAUUUUAAAGGAAGGGGGCAGAGGGACAGUCCACUUGAGCCCCUCACAGGCCCUACAUCACUGACCCUCGGCCCUCCACAGGGGCCAACGUGACCCUGGACGGCUUCUGCAGAGAAAGAAAGGCAGACGGUUGACAACCGGGCACCACGACCCAACCCCGCCCCCCUGGCCUGGGUUCUGUCUCCUGCACUGCUCUGUUCGCUGCUCCGUUCGCUGCUCCGUGCGACACUGGCCGAGGUCUGACGUCAGCACAGCAGAAAGUGCCACGGAGCCAAGGGCAGUCCUAGCAGCUAGCGAGCCCUUGGGUACAAUGCUUCUCACUUCCAACAUUACACUAAAUUGUCUUGGUGGGAAAUGCUCAACUAUCUAAAAAUAGUUAUUUUGUGACUUCCUUUCUAUGCAGAGCGUGCUUUUCUGCGUUUGGUGCUGGUGAAAGUGCUGACGGGUCAAGCAGGAGGCAGACCGGGAACCUGGACGGAGAGGGAGCAGCCGCCAGCACGGGCUGAGCACGCUGUGUCAGAACAGAGGCAGGCCCGGCCCACCGCCAGCAUCUCUCGGCCUUGCUGAUCUCAUCACGCAGACCUGAGCCCUAGGUGACCAGAGAGGAGGUCUCGUACCCGAGGCUGCAGCGACACUAGCAUCAUGCCAGGCUGAGUUAUUUCUGCUUCUCCCCACCGCGGCUGGAGUCAGCCCAACCUCUACAAUCGAUGCUGUGGCAGAUCACAGGCCACUGGACUCUGAUGGCUGCAGUUCACUGGUCAAUUCCGGUCUGGCACUCCCGCUUCCGGGGGCGAGUUUAGAGGGAGACCAUCACUUGGCUGGCCCUGAGGGUGGCGGGCGACCUUCCCGGCUGCGAUGUGCGUCUGUCUCGGGCACUGGCUAUUCCUGUGCCUUUGCCUACCUGUCCCCAGACAAGUUCUGGCACAAGCCAGGCAUGCCGUCUGGUCAGAUGACCAAAACCCCAUCCAGACGCUCAGUGCUGGUGAACCAAGUGGCGGUUCCCCCAAGGCUGAGCCCUCCCCUGCUUGCCUUGAGCUGCCCCAUGGGGCCCCUUCUCAGUCCCAGCGGGAACUGACAAGGCACAAGCUCUCCACGUGGCAGAAUGCCACCCAUCGACAUUCUCUCCUCCUGGUUCCAUGCAUCCACCUCUCUACUCCCUGCUCCCUGCACCACUGCCUGUGCAGUGGGAGCAUCGCUGAAGACGGACAGAACCCAGAGCAUCUUGGGAGUCAGGAAAGCAGAGGGCCAGAGCCAGACUGACCAUAGAGAGAAAGGAGAGGCAAAGAGCUGACACUACUCUGUGGCCAAGUGUCCUGUGCUUGUUCUCUGCAGAUGCUGCCGCUGUCUCAAGGAGGCAAACCUGACGGUCCCCGAGUAAACGCAAUCACCCCCUGAAGGAGCCACGUGCAGCCCUGGGAACGAGUGACCGCAGCAGGCAGGGAAAGAAGCAACGGGGACCCGGAGGCUGUCGGCGCACGUGGGCUGCCUCGGCCCAACUCACUCAUUCUCUCUCCCAGCCACGCACACACCAGACCCUCAGGAAGAAAGUUUACAUAAGGUAACAGAAAACGUCAACGUGGAAUGAGCGUGACUUCUCAUCACCAGCAGGGUGACCACACCCGAGGACGGCCCACCUCGCUGUGACACCCCCUGCCCAGCUCUCUGCAACCUCACCGAGGGCGACAGGCACGCGCGUCACAAAAGAGCUUAUUUCCCACUGAGGGUUUAGUGCCAUAGAAACAACUGGUUUGGGGCUGAAAGAAAACCAGAACAGUAUUUCCCUGGUCCAGGCAGGAGGAGUGACUGAUGGUGGGGGCAGCGCCUGGGGACAACCGGGGCAGCAUGACGGAGCUCCUCACAUCCGCCUGGCCUCUGAAUACCUCUAGCUGCAGACGGGUCACGCUCGGCACGUGUGCCCAGUCUUGCCUGCACUGCCUAGAAAUCCUGUUCAAGGUUCCCUCGCCUCCUGAGCCAGCUCUGUGCAGCCAGGCCCCGGCCUGGGGAGGCCGUCUGCUCUUCCUCUGGGGGGCGUCAAGGGAGCAGUGGCUCGCUCGGGGGCACCGCCAUCAGGGCUCAGGGAAGAGCAAGCAGCUUUGCUGGUAGGAGACUAAUGCUGAGGACAGGCUAUUUCUAAGGAGACGACCAUUGCCCCUGGGACUUCCGGAGCUCCGGGCAGAGCCUGCUGUUGUUUGUAGCUGUGUCCACCGCCAGGAGAACCAAUGCUGGGGUGUGCAGCCAAGUGUAAAGUCACUUUUCAGAGACGCACUUACCAUUUCCUGAGAAUGUUCUCGAGAGAAGCUAAAGGACUAAUUCUGACCCGCAAACUGGGCUAUAGGCCAGCCAGCUCAGGCUCGCUUCCUGCUCUGGUGAUGGUGCAGAGUGCACAGGGCGUCUGCAG